CCGCACUCAGUGCAGGAGUGCAGAGUGCAGCCAUCUCCAUUGGAAGUGCUCACACUCCUGCAGAGGCUCUAAAAACUGCCCUGGCCAAUCUCCGAGUUGAUGAAAGAGACACCAAGAGCACACAGCUUGAGAGCCAUACGUGUGUGACAGCCUCUGAGAUCCUGCUGAGACCUUCAUGUCACUGGGAUACACGUGAGCUACCAUACCCACCACAAAGCCAGACCUGGUAAAACUGGUGCAUUCCUCAGGCCCCAGAACCUGCCCCAGCUGCAGUGCCUUGGAGCAGGCUGAGCAUGGAGAGAUGGAGCAGUGCUGCAAGGAGACCUCACUGCAAACAGGAUUUUUAAAGUCAAGCCAAAUGAAAAGACAACAGUUAAGGAUUCACUGAAAAACACUGCUCUGAACAGAAAGGACAGUGUCUGAACAGCUGGUGGCCCUUCCAGAUGACAGCUGUACCCAUCCACCCUCAGCUACCAACAGCUCUGACCUGUAUGAUGUGGUGCUGCCGGCCUCUGCCCCAGGUAGCAGCAAUAGGAUGAGAGGUGAUGGCCUCACAUUGCACCAGGGAGGGUCAGGCAAAGCAGCAGCAGCUCAUCAUUCUCUGCACCCAUCUCCUCCUCAGUCCUGCCUGCAUGUGGGGCUUCAUCUGGAAAACAUGAGCACUGAGUAAGUGGAUUUGCAGAGGGAUUUCCCACAUGAAGGAGCUGCCUUCUCUUCCCACAUUGUUGGGGUUGGUUUGUAGGAAAACCAUAAAACCAAAUUCAGGAGGAGGAUUCCAAGCUGCUUUGGAACUUGGGGUUAUCACACCCAGGCUGUUGAAAAGAGCAAAAUGCACAGAGGAACAAUGAGAAAAACAAUGCUUGCAUAGAUAAAUACACAUUCUGUUUGUUGCUGCUGUCAUUGCAGCAUACAUGGGGGCAAAUGUGGUUGCUUUACUGGAAUAAUCCUUAUUCUUA